rnacentral:rRNA from 1 species
ACUCCUGCGGGAGGCAGCAGUGGGGAAUAUUGGACAAUGGGCGCAAGCCUGAUCCAGCCAUGCCGCGUGAGUGAUGAAGGCCCUAGGGUUGUAAAGCUCUUUCACCGGUGAAGAUAAUGACGGUAACCGGAGAAGAAGCCCCGGCUAACUUCGUGCCAGCAGCCGCGGUAAUACGAAGGGGGCUAGCGUUGUUCGGAUUUACUGGGCGUAAAGCGCACGUAGGCGGACUAUUAAGUCAGGGGUGAAAUCCCGGGGCUCAACCCCGGAACUGCCUUUGAUACUGGUAGUCUUGAGUUCGAGAGAGGUGAGUGGAAUUCCGAGUGUAGAGGUGAAAUUCGUAGAUAUUCGGAGGAACACCAGUGGCGAAGGCGUCUCACUGGCUCGAUACUGACGCUGAGGUGCGAAAGCGUGGGGAGCAAACAGGAUUAGAAACCCCAGUAGUCCC